rnacentral:lncRNA from 1 species
CUGGUUAACGUUCCUAAAACCCGCCGGACUUUCUGUAAGAAGUGUGGCAAGCACCAACCCCAUAAAGUGACACAGUACAAGAAGGGCAAGGAUUAUCUGUAUGCCCAUGGAAAGCGGCGUUAUGACAGGAAGCAGAGUGGCUAUGGUGGGCAAACCAAGCUGAUUUUCCAGAAAAAGGCUAAAGCUACAAAGAAGAUUGUCCUAAGGCUUGAGUGCCUUGAGCCCAACUGCAGAUCUAAGAGAAUGCUGCCUAUUAAAAGAUGCAAGCAUUUUGAACUGGGAGGAGAUAAUAAGAGAAAGGGCCAAGUGAUCCAGUUC